rnacentral:rRNA from 1 species
UACGUAGGUCCCGAGCGUUGUCCGGAUUUAUUGGGCGUAAAGCGAGCGCAGGUGGUUUAUUAAGUCUGGUGUGAAAGGCAGUGGCUCAACCAUUGUAUGCAUUGGAAACUGGUAGACUUGAGUGCAGGAGAGGAGAGUGGAAUUCCAUGUGUAGCGGUGAAAUGCAUAGAUAUAUGGAGGAACACCGGUGGCGAAAGCGGCUCUCUGGCCUGUAACUGACACUGAGGCUCGAAAGCGUGGGGAGCAAACAGG